rnacentral:rRNA from 1 species
GUCUACGGCCAUGCCACCCUGAACAAGCCUGAUCCCAUCUGAUCUCAGAAGCUAAGCAGGGUCAGGCCUGGUUAGUACUUGUAUGGGAGAUCACUUAGGAAGACCAGGUGCUGUAGGCG